rnacentral:rRNA from 1 species
CUGAUGCAGCCAUGCCGCGUGUGUGAGAAGGCCUUCGGGUUGUAAAGAGCGAGGAAGGUAGUGAGUUAAUAGCUGAUAGACGUUAGCGACAGAAGAAGCACCGGCUAACUCCGUGCCAGCAGCCGCGGUAAUACGGAGGGUGCGAGCGUUAAUCGGAAUUACUGGGCGUAAAGCGCAUGCAGGUGGUUUGUUAAGUCAGAUGUGAAAGCCCGGGGCUCAACCUCGGAAUAGCAUUUGAAACUGGCAGACUAGAGUACUGUAGAGGGGGGUAGAAUUUCAGGUGUAGCGGUGAAAUGCGUAGAGAUCUGAAGGAAUACCGGUGGCGAAGGCGGCCCCCUGGACAGAUACUGACACUCAGAUGCGAAAGCGUGGGGAGCAAACAGGAUUAGAUACCCUGGUAGUCCACGCCGUAAACGAUGUCUUGGAGGUU